rnacentral:pre_miRNA from 1 species
GCUCAGAUUGUGACCCUUGGAAUGGGAGCCCUUGCCCGUAUUCUCACCAGGAAAGUGCUUCCGUUUCGAGCCUCACUGUUUGAGA